rnacentral:lncRNA from 1 species
AGUUAUACCAGCUUCAUAAAAAGAGGUGGAAAGCAUUCCCUCUUUGCUCAUUCUCCUUAUUCAGUAUUCAGUAAUUAAUAUAUUUAACAAAUACUUAUUUAUAACAUGCUGUAAAAUAUAUGGAUUAUCUAUUCCUUAAAUGUUGGGGAAAAUGUGCCUAUGAACAAUCUAGGCUUUGUGUGGGUUUUUUCUUUAGCUGUUUUUUUGUUAUGGUUGUUGUUACACUUUUAACUGCUGCUACAAUAUCUUAUAAUAUCUUUACUGGUUUAUUUUUCCUUGUUUUAUUUAUAUUUUAGAGAUAAGGUCUUGAUGUGUUGCCCAAGGUAGACUCAAACUCCUGGACUCAAGAGAUCCUCCCACCUCAGACUUCUGAGUAGCUAGGACUCCAGGCAUGUGCCAGUAAAUAUUAUUCACACACAUUCUACCAACACUCUCUACCUGUGGUUUACAGAUGAUUAAGGAAGCUCCAAGAGGAAAAGGGUUUUUUUUUUUAAUCCACUGCGUCUUCUCAAGAGGUUGCACCCACUGUCUUCCAAGGCUGAGAGCAGGAACUGUUCCCUGUGCUUUCAGCAUGGGAAAAGGGUGGUUUGUUUUCCUUCCUCCCCACCCCAUUCUUUUUCUUUUUUGAUAAAAGAGUGAAAAUAAUGAGUGAAGUUACAAGUAUACGGAGGUUGCUGAACUGACAUCAACUGACGUUUUUCUGAUUGCAGGAUAUCUGUGGGUUCCCAGCAAUUUCAAUUUCAGUGACUCACUGUAUAUUCCCUGCAUUACAAUGCCUACAUCUACCAGACCUGAACAGAGAACUCCUUAUGCUGAUUUAUGGUUUUCACAACUGCAAAUGUAUUAAUUGUUUUUCAUUCAUGAGCAUCUCUAGCUAGAAAUAAACAUUUCACAUAGACUUUGAAGAAGUUAAACAUUAAAUUUAAAUGCUCUAACACUGACCAAAAUCAGUAAUAGACUAAUUUUAGACUACUUCAUUCCUGGACAGUCUUCUAAACACAUUGAUUUUGUU